rnacentral:lncRNA from 1 species
GUUCUAGUUGAAGUAGUUUUAAGCAGCUUGUUUGGAUUGAGAAAAAUGAAGUAAAGACUCACAUUUAGGUCUAUCCUAUGAAAACUUGGCCUUUGAUAGUUUUGGUGUUACAUUUGUCUCUCCCCAUCUCCAUCACAUAGUGCCGUCCUCUACAUAUGGAUUCAGUCAGCUUGAGAGCAGCCCUUUUUCUAGUUUUCUAAUCCUGUAAGAAAUUCAAUAUGC